rnacentral:tRNA from 1 species
GUGGCUGUGGUGUACCGGUUAGCAUCGGGGUCUGUGGAACCCUGGGACCGGGUUCAAUUCCCGGCAGCCGCC